rnacentral:rRNA from 1 species
UACAGGGGGUGCAAACGUUGCUCGGAAUCAUUGGGCGUAAAGCGCGCGUAGGCGGCUACUUAAGUCGGAUGUGAAAGCCCUCGGCUUAACUGAGGAAGUGCAUCCGAAACUGAGUAGCUCGAGUGCAAAAGAGGGUCGCGGAAUUCCCGGUGUAGAGGUGAAAUUCGUAGAUAUCGGGAGGAACACCGGUGGCGAAGGCGGCGACCUGGGUUGAUACUGACGCUGAGGCGCGAAAGCGUGGGGAGCAAACAGG